rnacentral:rRNA from 1 species
UAGGGAAUAUUAGAAAUGGACGAAAGUCUGAUCUAGCAACACCGCGUGCGCGAAGAAGGCCUUCGGGUUGUAAAGCACUUUUUGGAAGGAAUAGGAAGGAAUGUACUUCCAGAAUAAGUCUCGGCUAACUACGUGCCAGCAGCCGCGGUAACACGUAGGAGGCAAACGUUAUCCGGAUUUACUGGGCGUAAAGCGCGUGUAGGUGGUUCUGUAGGUAGGGCGUGAAAGCUCCCGGCUCAACUGGGAGAGGCCGUUCUAAACUGCAGAACUAGAGGAUGGUAGAGGGAGGUGGAAUUUCAGGUGUAGCGGUGGAAUGCGCAGAUAUCUGAAGGAACACCAGUGGCGAAAGCGGCCUCCUGGACCAUUCCUGACACUCAGACGCGAAAGCUAGGGUAGCAAACG